GUCGGUUAUGGUGAUAUGGUUCCUAAAACGUAUGUUGGCAUGUUCGUGGGCGCCCUUUGCGCAUUGGCUGGGGUGCUGACCAUUGCAUUACCUGUUCCAGUCAUUGUGUCCAAU
rfam:Rhodnius prolixus Rhodnius_prolixus-3.0.3-31.77, whole genome shotgun sequence.